rnacentral:rRNA from 1 species
GAUGAACGCUAGCGGCAGGCCUAACACAUGCAAGUCGAGGGAGAAGCCCUUUCGGGGGCAGAAACCGGCGCACGGGUGCGUAACGCGUAUGCAACCUACCUUUCACAGGGGGAUAGCCCGAAGAAAUUUGGAUUAAUACCCCAUAAUAUUAUUGGAUGGCAUCAUUUGAUAAUUAAAACUGCGGUGGUGAAAGAUGGGCAUGCGUCCUAUUAGCUAGUUGGAGUGGUAACGGCGCCCCAAGGCUACGAUAGGUAGGGGUCCUGAGAGGGAGAUCCCCCACACUGGUACUGAGACAGGGACCAGACUCCUACGGGAGGCAGCAGUGAGGAAUAUUGGUCAAUGGUCGGAAGACUGAACCAGCCAUGCCGCGUGCAGGAAGAAUGCCUUAUGGGUUGUAAACUGCUUUUAUAUGGGAAGAAUAAGGCGUACGUGUACGUUGAUGACGGUACCAUAUGAAUAAGCAUCGGCUAACUCCGUG